GACGAACGCUGGCGGCGUGCUUAACACAUGCAAGUCGAACGGAAAGGCCUCUUUCGGGGGGUACUCGAGUGGCGAACGGGUGAGUAACACGUGAGUAACCUGCCCUUGACUUUGGGAUAACUUCAGGAAACUGGGGCUAAUACCGGAUAGGAGCUCCUGCUGCAUGGUGGGGGUUGGAAAGUUUCGGCGGUUGGGGAUGGACUCGCGGCUUAUCAGCUUGUUGGUGGGGUAGUGGCUUACCAAGGCUUAGACGGGUAGCCGGCCUGAGAGGGUGACCGGCCACAUUGGGACUGAGAUACGGCCCAGACUCCUACGGGAGGCAGCAGUGGGGAAUAUUGCACAAUGGGUGGAAGCCUGAUGCAGCAACGCCGGGUGCGGGAUGACGGCCUUCGGGUUGUAAACCGCUUUCGCUCAUGACGAAGCUUUGUGUGACGGUAGUGGGUAAAGAAGCACCGGCUAACUACGUG
rnacentral:rRNA from 1 species